UACGUAGGUGGCAAGCGUUGUCCGGAUUUACUGGGCGUAAAGAGCGCGCAGGCGGUCUUUUAAGUCGAAUGUGAAAGCCCCCGGCUCAACUGGGGAGGGUCACGCGAUACUGAUCGACUGGAAGGCAGGAGAGGGUUGUGGAAUUCCCGGUGUAGUGGUGAAAUGCGUAGAUAUCGGGAGGAACACCAGUGGCGAAGGCGACUACCUGGCCUGUUCUUGACGCUGAGGCGCGAAAGCUAGGGGAGCAAACGGG
rnacentral:rRNA from 1 species